rnacentral:sRNA from 1 species
GCGGCGGCAGUGUCUGUGGUGGCCGCGGCGGCGAGAGCGACGGUCCCAUCCUUCCCACCCUCUCGGUUGCCGCUGGCCACACGCCCUCCGUUGGCGGCGACUUCUCAGCUCCGUGCGCCCGGGCUGGACAGUGAGCCUCGAGAGGAGACGCGGGCGGCUAGAGCCGGAGUGGGGCGAGCCGCGGAACCCGGCCGGGAGCCGCGCGAGGCGAUUGCCAUCACGAAAGCCAAAGUGGAUUUCUCCAGCGUGGUGUGCCUGCCCCCUUCCGUCAUUGCUGUGAAUGGGCUGGACGGAGGAGGGGCCGGCGAAAAUGAUGAUGAACCGGUGCUUGUGUCCCUAUCUGCGGCACCCAGUCCCCAGAGCGAAGCUGUUGCCAAUGAACUGCAGGAGCUCUCCUUGCAGCCCGAGCUGACCCUAGGCCUCCACCCUGGCAGGAAUCCCAAUUUGCCUCCACUUAGUGAGCGGAAGAAUGUGCUACAGUUGAAACUCCAGCAGCGCCGGACCCGGGAAGAACUGGUGAGCCAAGGGAUC